rnacentral:lncRNA from 1 species
UCAAGGUGUGUAAGUAAUAUGGCACUAUGACAGCAUAAAGAACCGAGAUAGUGGAAAAUGGAUGUAAUUUAAAGUUUAAAUGUUCUUUAAGUUAAUGUGAUAGAGCUUUAUCACACAUGUUUCUGGAAAAGUUGGUUUAUCUAGUUCAAAAUGUUUCCUAUCACAUGAAUUUUGUUGCUACAAAUUGAGUAAUAGUUUUUUGAGGCCCACCAUGAGGAACUAGAAAGUGUCCCAUCUUUUGUAAGUUGCCCAGUACAAAUAGCACAAAUGGUAUAUCUGUUUGCGGGGCGACAUACAAGCGAUGGUACUUUCCUCAACAAGUAUGAAUGUCCAAUUGUUCAUCUCGUGCUCAUUAUUCAUUUGUCAUUUCUAGGAUGUUCAUUCAAUAGAUUACUGGAUAUUUAGGUUGCUUGUCUUUUAUAUAUAGAUAUUUUGACUUCCUGAGAAAUCUUGAAUGCUGUCAUCGAUAAUCCACUAUUUACUAUGAAAAGGUGUAAUUGCAGUUGCUUCCCAUAUACUAUGGAAAAGAUUCUAAUGAGCCAGUGGUGAUAUUAAGAUAUUGGUCUUUGUUGAUUAUGAUGAGUAUUUUGAUUUGAGCAAGAGUUAAGGAAGAAUUAACAAACUUACAGGCCUAUUGUUGGUUUUUUCUACAAUGAAAGGGCAACCUUAAAUCAUUAUAUUCAUUAAUGCUGAAGUGACUCUUGGUAGCCAUGCAAUCGUAGCAGCACUAGCUAAAUGCAUAUUGAGUGUUUCACUAUAGAUAGAUGUAAUUUCUGUGGAAUUGUUUAAUCCAAAUUAUGGAAUCACAGGAUAUAUGUGUGCAUAUGCUUAUAUCAUGCAUAUGCACAUCAAUAUUUUUGUAUACUGCAGCUACUUAAAGUUUUAUUUUGGCGAUAACGUCACUUUAGUGUGUCUCUGUUUAUAUAUAAUCCAUGUAUUUUGCGCUCUUUUUUGGAGGUUUGAGGUUCAUUUGCUAGGUCGGAGAGAAACAGGGAGUAGUCUUGGUUAGCAAUGCUGCAUGAGAGGUUGGUGAUGGAGGAGCCUUUCUUUCUAUUUGUUCUUCUGAUUUUACUUUUAUUCUAAGUGUUAACAUGUCCAUAUCUAGUGUGACCUAUGUUUUUGUCUGCCUUUUGUGCUGCAUCCAAUUCUCCUGGGCCUUCAAAUGAAAUCUUUUAUGGAUUUGAUAUAAAUUGAGCAUUUUAUAUAAACCUAUGAGCUCACUUUUAGUGUUUGGGUUGGUUGUGAGUUUGAUGAGACCAUAGCGAGCGGCAUGAACUCUCAUUGCUUAAGGUCAUGUUGGGUUCUUAUAUAGGGACCCAAAAUUUGUUUCCACCUUACAUCUUGGAUUUGAAGUGAUUACUCAUGAACACUUUGAAUAUCUUAGAGUUUGGUGGAACUGUAGCAUUAAAUAAUGCGAAAAACUUGAAAAACUUGGUAUGCCAAACAUCUGGAUAAAACAAAGUCCAUACAUUGCUUUUCUAGGAGUCGUUUAAUGUGCAACAACCACCUUAAUUUCUGGUACUUGGAAUGGAGUCGCAUAAGUGGGCUUCCUUUAUGGAAACUUUUUUAGUGCGCCUUUUGGUUCAUGUGUUAUAUUGUAGGUCCUCUUAUGCUCCAAAAAAGAAUACGUUGCUUACCCAGCAUAAAGUUGUCGCGAUUCAAUUUUGCAGGUUAUAAGUUUGACAUGCUUGACCGAGAUUCAGCCAAUUUAAGGCUGCAAUUUGCUCGCUUUCCUGGUCCGAGGUCAGCUGGCAGACCUUGUGGCAGUCGUUGAUAUCAGGAGGAUUUUCUUUUUCCAGGUGACAGAUGCUGAUAUUUCAGUCUAUGCUUUUGUGCAAGCAUACAAUUUGCUUGAAGAUAAUGUCAGGAGGUUAUACACUCGUUAUGCUGAAUAAUUAUCCAACUGUUAACCAUCUUGUAAACAUGUUGAGAUCAGGAGGCUUUGUUCACCAUGGGACUGCUAGUAGAUUACCCUUUUUGGGUUUUCCUUUCAUAGACUCUGAACGUGAGAGUGUGGGAACUUUUGAAUUUAUAUAGCCUGGCAUAUCUGUGGUCUGCCCCAUAAAUUUGCUCUCCUGUGGCAUUUUCCUUCAAAGGACAACAUGUGCUGUUGUUUGAUGUUCUGAAGAAGGAACUAGUUUGACAUUAGUGCUACAGUUGAUAUGAAAUACAUGGUUCUUUCUCUAAUUUUUUAUUUUGAAGGUUGGUAGCGGUACAUUCAAUUUAUCAAUUGCUUAUAUAUGCAAAGGGGAUAGCUCUUGCUUAUAAUGAAUUAUAUAUGAAACUUUGGGAUUGUAACAGUGGACCAAGCCAAAGUUGGCCGCUUAUGAGGUAGUUUAGAAAAUCCAGCCAGUGCUUUGGAUUAUGUCAGCUCAAUGACAUGAGCUUCAUGGCUGAUUAAUCUCAAUUCAACACAAUCUUUUGUAACCGAGAUGUCUUGCGCUAUCAUGUUAGGAUUUUGUUUAGCAGUCUACUUUUAAAAAUUAUUGAAUGGGCUGAAGAGAUGGGUUAUUGUGAUUUAAACUAUGAGGCUGGUGUUACUGCUAAAAUUUGGUUGAAGGAAGCUGAGUUAGGUGCCAAGUAUCAGUGUAUUGGGCCCCAAGCAUGUGAUAUUUGUGUGCAUGAGAAAUUUGCGUCAUUUUCAUAGUUUAUCUAGCUAUCUCUUUUAUCAAAUUGCAAGCACGAGGGUUUCCCUCUCCCUACUUCAUGAUUCUGUGUGCCAUUUUUGCUGGUGAUACAUUCUACAUCCGUGUUUGAAAGUUGGGCAAGCUGUCGAAUGUGAAAUUAAGUUUCAUUCAUCAAAAUAGGACAACUCCAGUAUAUCUUUUUCACUCACUGAUCGGGGAAAAUAAAGAACUGCCUGUAGCAGUUAAGAUGUCAAUGCAUUCAGAGUUCCUGUUUUGGCCUGUAGAUCGACAUCAUGUUUGAGGAGUUCCACAUUUUUGUCUUCACAUAUCUCAUUAUCUUGUUCUUGAGAAUAGUUUUCUAGUGCAUUUGUAUCGGUGGGUAUUAAUAGCAAGGGUAAGCUUGGAUAUUCCUUAUGUUUGUAUAUUUUCGGGAUUACUUAUAUUUGUAUAUUUUCUUGGGAUUUGUUGUCUAUACCAUAUUUCUUGUUUUUUGUCCUGAUUUUGAAUUUGUUUAUGUUAUGCAUUAAAAAUAUGAUGUAUCUAUGCCCCAUCCCUACCCCCACCCCCACCCCCACCCGGGGAACACAAAAAGUUCUCAUCUGGCUGAUGGGAUCCAGGAUUCGGUGUUUUCCUUGCACCAAUAUAAGCUGAAUAAAAGGCUAGGUGAAGGUUAAAGAUUAUUUUAUUUUAUUUUAUUUUUUUGGGUUCAACAGCUCCGGACGUUGUAGACAAGAUUUGUUGGUCAAUUUUCAUUUUUUACUGGUUAAGCUUUGAAUUGUGAUCCCAAGAACAUGUCUGUCUAAAGGAAUCUAACAGAUGUUGCAAGGAACUUUGUGGAUUGAAAUUAUGUAUUGAUGUUGUAAUUUGGAAGCCUCAUGGUGAGCAAAUCCACAUACCUAUUUGCAGCAUACGAGUUUUUUAAUAAAAUAUAUAGAACCAUUUAAGCUACCUUUCUAGGAAGAACAUGAUUAAGUGGGUAAUAUUUAUCCAUAUAUGAAAAAGAAUGUGGUUUUUGGUUCUGCCCCAGUACGCCACUGCAUGUUGUUGCUUUCUUAUUGUAUGUUUUUAGAACAGUUGCAAUUUAUCUUUCUGGUAGAUAUUCCUUUUGUAGAUACUAUAAACUCGCGGAUUUUUUUUUUGGGUAGAAAAACUUGCAUAUUCAUAUUCCUCUUUCUGAUUAAAACUAGAAACCUACGUUCCUUUUUGGGUUAAAAAAAAGUAAAUAAAUUAUUUUCUUUUAGAACCCAUCUUUUGUUGUUUACAGAUAGAAGUUAUUGGCAUCUCUCCCCAAAGAGCUUGACCUUUGCGCAAUUACCGGAUAUUGCUACAGAAAAGAAAGAAAUAGAAGACAAUUUUGUUAUUGUGCAAAAUCAUUAAUGGUUAAAAAUAAUACUUGUCUGAUCCAGGGAGUUGAAAAUAUGAUGCAAGGAAAAUGCAGCAAUAAGAUUUCUUUUAUUUUCUGUUAGCAAUUAAACUCACGUUUUUUUUAUAAAAAAAGCAUUAGAUGCUGUGCGUGGGCCAGUAAGGCUGUAGGUGGAAUGGGUAUGAGUAGAUACACUUAUAUUUACAUCCCUGUUUUUGUGGAAAAAAUUAUACAUAUGACUGUUAGACAAUUUUUUUCCUUGUUAUGAGCCAAAUAUUAGGAUCAAUAUUCAUAUUUGCUACAAAUGAAUAUUGAUAUUCUGCUAGAUGACUUGUAGCCAAUGUGUAGAAAUUUGUGGCCACUUAAAGAGAUUUAUACUUGUAGUCGUGGUCUGUGUACAUGAAUUUGUGGCAGCUUGCCUUUUAGACAAUUGAUAUGUGUGUCAGUUGAAUCCAAUUUGGUCUUUCUAAUAAACAAGGAUAAAAGGUUUGUUAAAUAAUAAAAUUUCCCAAUGAUCUUUAUGUCAUAAUAAAUUUAUGCUUAUGUUAUUGUGUAACCAAGUGUCAAGUAUGUAUACAGAUUUUAAUAUGCAGCUUGCUCCUGAUCAAAAUAGGAGAAUUGUUUGCUCCUGAUUCAGAUAGGAACAAACGUAUUAAUGCAUUAGGGCUGCAUUUGGUUCAGGUAUAAGAAAAAAUGAAAUUAAAAAGUUCUGAAGUCACACCAAUUUUUGUUUGGUCAAUAUUUUUGAAAUAACCUUUAGUUGAAGAUUUUUUUUUCCCUUUGUAAAGCAGUAUUUGUUUCUGGAAAUAAGCAGGCAUAAAGCUGGUCACGAGUCUAUCAAAUAUCUAUUAUGUGAUUGGAAGCAAGAGAUAAUUGUACGGGUCAAACAUGCUCUUAUCAGCCAUAAUUGUUCCCAGAAAAAUAUUAUAUAUUUAUAUUGGUCUAGAAUGUAUUAUUUAUAUGCCUUUCUUUUGUGAUAGACUAAAACCAUCUUUAGUCAAAAUUUGUUCUAAUAAAUUGUAGCCUAGCAAAAAUGAAAGUAAAUGUUGGUAUUAUUCUAAUAAAUAUAACUUUUUGUAAUUUUUCCAACCCUAAUUUUUAAUUUUCCUGAACUAAAGGUAGCUAAAGAAUGGUGGCUGUGAUACAUAAAGUUCUAUGCUGGAAGAAAAAACGAUGAUAACUUUUUUUCUUGGAUUAAUUAUGCCUGGCAUGAGGUAGUUUGAUUGAAAUAACUGUUUCUUAUGUCUGUAUCUGGUACUCAGUUCUAGAUUUUCUAUGGAUUGUGUUAUAUUAACAAGCUGACAACCCAAUGUAAGCCUAAAAUUUCAGCUAGCCGGUUAUCAAUUGCAGGAUGGAAAAUUAAUUGGUUGUAUGGACCGUUAGUGGCAUAUGAUGCUGCGCUAGGAGAAAGCAGUGAAGCUACAAUUCUUUAGUUGGAUGCCAUGGCACCGCUCUUCUAGGGUACACUGCCUUUCAAAAUUCAAAGUUACAUAAUAUGUUUAAAGCACAAAUGAGGGCAAGAUCUUGUAUGGUUUCUUAGAUAACUUUUUUUUUUUUUGUAUAAUAAUGAUGUAAGCACCAGCUUCAUGAAUUNNNNNNNNNNNNNNNNNNNNAAGAUACUUUGUUAUGGUUUCUUAGAUAACUUUUUUUUUUUGAUAAUAAUGAUGUAAGCACCAGCUUCAUGAAUUACCCAGGUCAAACAUUUGACAUGAGAUAUACAUCUGAAAGUUCAGACUCGGUUAUUUCUCCAGUUGAUUUUGUGCCCGUAUAGGCUAUAUCCUGAUUUAAUUGACUGAAUAACAUUUGUUGUUCUCAAGCAGGUAUAAUUUACUAUGCGAUUUUCAAUCUAAACUGACGCAUUGAAGAUAAAUAGUGAAGCUAGAUAAUCUUGUGGUUUGCAUAAACAUUUUUUUUUUUAAUUUGACGUGAAGAUCUACUACCUUAUGUAGAAGUGAUAAUUCACAUGCCUUUGCCAUUGCCGCCUUCCAACGUAUCUUGGAUUUUUUUUUAUUUUUGUUCUCAGUUAUCGGGAAAAAAAAAAGACUAAUAGGAGUGAAAGAAAGCAUAACUUGUUAGAAAAUUGGAGUGACAUUACAGUGGUACACUCAGGUUUUGUGGUGGUCUGCUCUGCCACAUGCCUCCAAUUUUUUUUCCUUUUUUGUUGCUUGCUGGAUAUGAUUUGUGGCUGUCUUGAAAAUGUUUUGGACUUGCUAUUGCAAAUAUAAGAGUGGGAAAAAAAAAGUGAAAUAUAUUAAUCAGUAAGAGAGAUAGUGAUAUUAGAAUAUGUAUUGUCUUUUUUUUUUUAAUUAUUCUAUUCUGGCAAUUUACGUUUUGAGUACUUGAAGGUGUUGGUAGCGUCCUUUCCACUUGUCACAAUUCGUCUUCUGGAUCUAUAGGAAAUUGGUAUUAUUAUUAUUAUUAUUAUUAUGUGUUAUUUUAACCAGUUCAAUCCUCUUAUCCGCAGUUUUUCCUGGUGCACAGGAAGGGGUUUGUGGAAUUCAAAAGCGGGUAGGUUUGGUUCAUGAGAGAUCGGGCCAUUUAUGGAGCACUUUGGCCCGCUUCAAUGUCAUUAUCGAGUGUUGAUGAGUAAUGGAGUGGCAUCUUAUGACAUGGGCAUAUCUUUUUGGGCUACCAAGACGAGGUGAGAAAAAUUGAUCAUGAUUUUAGAAGAAUUAAAUUUAGCAUCAGGAUUCUGUGUCUUCUAUGAGGAGAAAACUUGUUUGCAUAGAUUUCAUCAGAAAUGCAAACCCAUUUACUGGUUGAUGCUCCUUGAUUUUUCCCGUCAUCUGGAUCACACUUGCCUUUUCCUUGGUUAGAUCUUCAUCUUUAUAAUUUACAAACUUGUGAAGGUUCCCUGCGUAUUUGUUUAAGCUAUGCUUUGAUUUCCCAUGUAUAGUUAACAAAUUAAAUCAUGUUAUUCUUGUCUAGCACCUUUCGUUCUACCUUUAGAUGGUUUCGAAUGGCAAAUUUAAAAAAGAGAGAAAAAAACUGUCAGGGUUUAAUUUUGUGACAACCCGCCCCCCUUUUUCCUUUCUGCGUCGAUGGUUCGGGCCGAAAGGAUCCCUGUGCCGAUGGUUGCCCCCGUGUCGUGGGCCAUGUACGCUCGCUUGAGUCGUGGUCGCCACGCGCUCACGCGCUACGGUCCAAAAUCCAGCGCACAGUUCCUGGACACGGCCCGCUCCACAAAGCCUCAGAUGCUCACCGCCUUUGUAGUUCGAGUCCGGAGGACUCGAUGAGUCGACGAUGAUUUGCCAUAGCAGUGGGACCCGUUUCCAGUUAUAUGCGGUUCACUGUCUCUCUCCUGGCCCCCAACCUCUGUACGGCUCUGUACCUGUUCGGACAAUGGGUCUAGGUUCUGAUUCGAGUUUCUUGACCCGUCAAAAUUGGCUAUAUAGAUCCGAUCCGUGAAACAAGAAACAGAAGGCAGAGUUGGUAACGAACCGCAAGUGAAGAGAGGAACGUCACCUCGAUUGCCUGUUUCCGCUGGUGACCAUCCACGGCUCAACUGUCGCUGAUCCUUCUCUCCCAAUAUCUUUGGCAGUUAGCAAGGGAAGCAGAGCUAGUGUUUGCCUAAGAAUUCUGGUUUCUAAUUGGUUGUUUUAUCAUUUUUCUUAGCAUUGAAUUGGAUCCAAUUGUUUGGUGGAGCAGGUACUGGGAUAUCGCUGGGCAGGAUCGUUUAGGAGGUACUUGGUGGAGCCUGCUGCUAUGUGGUGGGCUUUACUCUUUGUUCAAGUCUCUCUCUUCUGGUAUACCUUCCUCUCUCUCUUCCUUGUAAUUUCUUGUUCCAAGGUAAGCAGAAGGCUUAAAGAACAUCGCUGGUUUAUGAAAUGAACCAAUGUAAGGAGUGGCUACUGGCUAACUAUACGUUAUUGUUUGAUACAUAUUCUGGACACGGGGACUCCAUGAGAAGAAAAACAGGCUGAGGUGCAGCUUGACUCGUAAGCAGUUCUUGAAUGCCUUCGUCUGCAGCUUGGCAUACUAUAUGUUCCCCGGUUACCUCUUCAAGAUGCUAACCUUGCUCUCUUGGAUUUGUUGGGAUUGCGGUCGUUGGACUUGAUUGGUCAUCUGUCUGUGCCUAUCUUGGAGGUCCCUUUGGCAGCCCAUGGUUUGCUACUGCAGAUAUUGCAGUUGGCUUCUUCCUUGUGUAUGGCAUCACCCAAUCACAUAUUGGUUAGAUGUGUAUAACACCAAGACCUUUCGAAUGGUUUCUUGACACAUCAGAUGAAAGAACAACACUUCCAGCAUCACUGACUCCAACUUUCUCCUCGAUGCUGUUGCUUGUGAGAAGCAAGGGCCUCCUCUGUAUCUUAGAACCUUUGUUGUAAUGACUUAGGGUUUUAGCUUUGCCUUGCUCAGCACCACACUGGCUCAUGUCGUGCUGUUUCAUGGAAGGUAUAAGUUGAGCUAUGCUUCAUUAAUUUUUGGUACAGAUUUGGGUUUUGGUUCCUCGGCCUGAAAAUUAGUAGUCACUUAUUGGUUGAUUCCAUUUGGCCAGAGAGAUAUGGUAAAUGAACAAAUUAGAUUUUCGAGAAGAGAAGAUGCAUGUGCAUACAAGGCUAAUGAGCAGAUACAACCAAGUCCCUCUGCGGUAGUUUUGUGCAUCCUGGUGAUGAGUGUUGCCCUCACAAUCUUUGCAUGUGAGUAUUAUAUUGACCAACUUCAAUUACCAUGGUGGGGUAUCUUGCCAGCAUGUGCAGUGGCAAUCUUCUUUACUCUCCCUGUUGGAAUCCUUACAGCUACAUCAAACCAGGUAAUAUAUACCAACUGUUACUUCGUUUCAUCCAGUUCUGGCUUACAAUCUGAGAUUUUAUUGGACUUAAAUAUGUAAAUGGUCAUCUAUGUUGCAACCAGUCUUUAUCUGAAUAAUUUACUGAACAGAUGCCGAGGUUGAAUGCCAUUACUGAGUACCUUAUGGGCCUUUGUAGACUCAGGCCAUCCCCUUGCAAAUAUGUGCUUUGAGGUGUGUGGCUUUAUCAGCAUGAAACAGGCAUUAACGUUUCUGGAAGAUUUCAAACUUGGGCAUUGCAUGAAGCAAUGGCAUAUAGUUUUGUUUCUCUUUCUCUGUCUUCUCUUCGAAAAGGGAAAGACCUAGGAGUAAGUGGACAUAACCUGGUAGAAGCUCACGCACUUGUUUCUUAGUUUUGCUUGGAUAUGCUUCUUGCUAAUGUGUGAUAUGGGGCAGAGAAUCGUUCCACUCUGCCUGUUUGAUGCCACGGGUCCACCAGCAGAUGCAGGCCCUUAAUCUAGAAAUUUAGUUAGGACUGCCUUUUUCUAAAUGUGUUCCAGGUGGAACAGUAGCGUGAGUUCAGCUUAUUAGUUAUUACUAUGUUCAAUAUUUUUACAAAGAAUUAGUGUAUAAUUGAAGUCAGAUAAUUUUGUAAACAACAGAUAAUCCAGUGCAUUGCUAUUCAUAACAUUUUUUAGAUGAGAGCGUUGUUCUUUGGAUGAACUCAUUUGUUACUCAAUCUCCCUAUUAUGUAACUGUUCCUCAUUAAAUUUAUCACAUUCAGACUGGUUUCUGUCACAUGAUCCAAUCUCUUGUGAGGGUUAAGUAGUUGUUUUACAAACUAGGGUCCCUUCAUGGAGAAAGUCUUAACUGAUGUAUCAGAUGAAUGUGGGGAUAUUCUGGCAUCAAAUUAGGCCUCUUGUCAUCUACCUCGCAUGGAACUACUAGUCUCUCACUUGAGGACUGCAGACUACAAACAAACUUUCUUUCGUUUUAAUUCCCUAAUCCUCAUGUAGACUGCCAAUUUAGUACAUAAGUUCAUAUGAAUUUUUCAGGUCUUCAUGCACGCUUAUGAACACGGAUGCUAGUGCCAUCCAAAGCACUCAGCCUUACAAUAUGCAUCAUGCAGCUAUAUAUCUAUUAUCAAAAAAAGCAUUCUGGGGCCCCAAAUGAUCGUCCAUUUGAUGAUAAAUCUCUGUUGCUACUUUUUUUUUUGGGGUUUGUGGUGCCAUAUACUUUGUAGAAUUCUGUUGGCUUAACUCCUAAGCAUCAGAUUUAUCACAAUCCUAAUGAAUAUGUUGUCCAACAUUAUAUUUCUUAUCAGGCUUUUCUCCCAAGUGAUUUCUAGGAGUGGAUUCUUCAUUUAAGCAGUUCCAUAACAUUCCAUUGUCUGAUUUACAAGUUCUUGAUCCAUUUUGUUCUUUCUAAAUCACUGAAGCUCUGCCUUGUCUGAUUGUUUUCUCACCUGUUUCGAUUCUUCGUCUGCUGCGCAUGGAAGAGUAUUCUGGUAGGUGAUAAUUUUCUCCAUUUUUAUCAACACCACCUUUGAACAGCUUUUUCUUGUAGAUGCUGAUUUAAAACUAGAUGUUUAAUCAUCAUCAGGCAAUUAAGUUACAACACUAAAAUGCCUCUGCCCAUUCAAAAUUUGUCAAACCACUAUAAAUACAAAUCUUAUUUAGCUCACUGCUGCAUGGAAUCGAAAGAUGACGAAUCAUGUGCACUGCUCUUGUGAAGAGAGGAUGAUUGAUGCAACUUUGUUUCUAUCAGGUGGUGGGAACCUUUAUGUCGGUGCUAGUGCUCCUGGGAGCUGCAUGGUGGCUUAUGAGCACUGUUGCAGAAGAUUUCUGACCGUGGCUGGAGAUGGCUAGAGUGAGUUGGAGAUCACCGGAGUGACGUUUUGUAAAAUAAGUUUCGGUUGGAGUUGGUUCCGACGUGAAUCCUCCGACAGCCAAAUCAGGAAUCUGAUACAAUAGAGAAAAAGAGAAGAGAAAGAGGAGGCGGCUAUCGGAGAAGAUGAUCGGUGACCUGAGGAAGUGGGGACGUAGGAUCUCUGGGAGCAAAAAUCGGUGAAAAAUACUCAGAAAAGCAUUAAGAAGGAAAUUGGGCUUCCUAAAUCCCUUUUACAAGGGCACGGAUCCAACGCGGCCCCAAAUAUGAGAUUGUCGGCAAUUGAUGGAUGGACGACAUCUGGCAUUCUUUCAUUGACCAAUGUGAAUCGAGAGACGGCUCAUUAUGAGGAGCUUCAAAAAUGAAGCACGUCGCCUUUCGAAUUUCGUAAAAAUCGGUCCCUUCUCCUCCGGCCAUUAAUGGCCAGAUGAUGCAACAGCUUCUUUUUUUAAAAGAUGCCUCUUCGAUUUCGAACAAGUGCAUGCCCUCAAUUUGCCACCUAUCAUACUCCCAUCCUUCGAACCAUUUGAGCUAUGGAUUCGAGAAUAGGGGGACAUAUGUUAGGGAGGGGUAUUACACCUGGGCUGAAGCAUGUCCCCAUUGAUGUCAGGGUAGAGCCGAUCCUCGUAGAAUCUGCAUCACCCUAGUUAACCCGAUCCUUAUGAUGGAUGUACCACCCAAAGAUUAAAGGUCGUCUGAUACUCGUGUCGUGGUCUGAACCCCCUUUCGGGAUCAAGUCGAUCCUAAUUUUCGAAUCCUAAUUUGAUGGUCAGUCCCAGCAGCUAAUGGGCCUUAGGUAGACUUCAGUGAUUUAGUUGAUCCUCUUUUUGGCCGACCCCUGACUGUUUACGUCGAACAAGGAUCGAGCAUCGGAUGGCCAUUUCUCGCUUAAGAUUCAAGCUGGAGGAUAUUUUAAUCAUUUCUCUUUGUACAAACUUGUUAGGCCAUACUGUUUAGCUGCACCGCUCUACCUACCGACUUCGCGCCAGUUGAGCCCAUGUCACAUCAUCAUUCCUUCCACGAUCAGACGGUGCAUCGGUUAGAGGAACAUUCGCCAUCGGAGUCAUUUAAAGAUGCCCCAUACGGCUUCGUAUGAUGGGACACGAUCGGAAUGGCCUCCCGUCCUUCAAUCUUUGAUCUUAAUCUUUCUAUAAAUAAAGAAGGGGUCUUGACGACGGCCGCAGCACCUAUCCUCGCCUCAACCACUGACUCUGAUUUCCUACCAAUCUACGCAUUGGCCAGCGAACCCCAUUUCGACCGACGAUCGGGGUUUGAAUAGUUGAUCCUAGUUUUGAUCAAUCUUUCGAUCAUCGAUCCCAAGGCGACAUCCGGACAUCAGGCAUCGAGCCAAGGAAAGCUUAACUUUGGCAUCUUCCUUAGGAGUCUUGAGUCGAUCUUUACUUUUAAUCGAUCUCUGAGUCAUCCACUAUUACAACUUAUCAUUUUGAAGAGAUUGACCUUCACUAUCCCGAAUCCCACGCAGCAGAUUAAAUCGAUCUCCAAGUCAAGCUGAGCUUCACCUUUCCGACCCUUCGCUGUCCUCGGAUGACACCUGGAGGACCCUUCGGUGUUCAUGCUCCGGCCACCAACCUCAGCCACCAUCAGCCAACGGAUGGAUGAAUUUGAACAAACCAGCCGAUUCCUUCUCCUGGUUGAUGUCCACCAUUUAGCAAUAAGGGCAUCUGUUGGUCCUCGGGCUUGGGCAUCGGGGGAAAGAUCUGACACUAGACGAUGGCCUCCCAUCCAAAGUACAUAUCAGAAGAUACUAAUUAUAAUUUCUGUUUAAUCAUGUUAAGUCAGAACACGUCACCUUACCACGCCAUGCCACUUAUCAGCUGUGUGUCGAUUACGCUCGCGUCACGUCGCCUCUCCUGCUAAUUGCGCAUCGAGUAAAGGCAUGCUUACCAUCAAGAUACAUGACAUGAUCCGUACGGCUCAAGUGGUCCGGAAUGAUUUUCUAUUUUUUUACUCUCGAUCUCUCUAUUUAGAGGUAAGGGAGAGAUCCUCUAGGUACGCAAGCAUGCUCACCAUAUUUAUGCUUUUUCGUGAUUCUCUUUCUUUCCCUCUGUGAUGUCAGAUUUCUGAUUUGACUAUCGGAGGAUCCACAUCAGAGCCCACUCCGAUCGAAAUUUAUUUUGUAGGGAUGCUGCUCUGGUGGUCUCCAACUCGCUCCAGCCAUCUCCGACCGCGAUUGGGAAUCUUCCGCAACAAGCACCAUUCUUAUCAUCUGCGAUCAAGUCAAACUGGCUCCUGGGGACAUGCCUAGUUUUCUCCGAUGCUUGCAUUGUAUGGGGUCUGAUUGAGCCUCUUGGGAUUUUUGGUAACCUUGGCACCUACUCAGCAAUCAACUGGUUCUUCCUGCUUGAGGUUGUUUUUCUUGUCUGGCUUGCCCCUGAGGCCUUUCCACGACUGCAAUUGAUCCGCUUUGUUGCCGUGUUUAUCCUGAUAAGUGCCCUGGGAGAGAUGCCUUCAGCCUUAGAAGUCAACUACGCUUCUAUUAUUGUCAGCUUUGUUCUAGGUUUUGUUAUCUAUAGGUACAGGUGAGACUGUGGCAACAUCACGAUUAUACCAGAGGCAUAAAUUUUUUAUAGUCGGACUGAUCAUAGAAAAAAUUAUGAUCGAAUAUACUUCGAAAACGUCCAUCAAAAGAUGGUGGCCACACGCACGUAAUACUAAAAAAAGAAGAAUGGAUCUUGAGAGUAUUUGAACAGUUUAGAUAAAUAUCACAUAAAUAUCUUUUUUUUAUAGAUAUCUCAAUAUAUGUACGUGACAGACGAUAAUGGUUCGACUAUAAUUUUUUUCAUGAUCGACUCGACUAUAGAAAUUUUUUCCUCUCCAGGGCUUCAUAUGCUGGCCUUACAUGUAUGGUAGUGUUGUUAUACAUAUGUGUUAAAGAGUUGGGAGGGCAUCAUGGCCUGCUGGUGAGGAUCCUAGGAGGAAUGGAUGCGAUUGGCCUCUUGUCCAACUGAGUGUAAUGUCGUUGACCAUUACCCUCUGGUUACACUUGUGGAGUUUGAUCACGUGAUAUUUAUAAUUUGUACGUGUAAAAAAAAUAUAGAAUCUCUCAUCUACUAUCGCUUAAAUUCUAUCUAAACUAGGCUUGGCAAUGAGGGGUUAGGUGCGGAUUUGGAUCAACUCGAAUCCGACUCGAUAUCUCAAUAUUUUGAUUCGAUCUCGAUCCGUGAUUCGAUGGGCCAAUACUUUUUUUAUCCAUAUUUGAUCCGAUCGGUAUUUUUAUCCGAUCGGAUAGCUGCUCCGCUUAAAUGAGAUUUUCUAGAUGAAAAUAGAAAUAUUGAACAACAGCCCACUACCACUCUUCAGUUCUUGAGGUCUUAAUCGAGCUUAAAGGUCAUAAAGUCCAUAUUUCAUACAACCAGUCUAUAUUUGAACAAUAUAUACACAUAAGAUCGGAUUUAGAUCAGGUAAUGUGUUGGAGCAGCCACUAUCCGAAUCUAAUCUGAUCCGAGAUAUAAAGUUAUCGGGUUCGAAUCAAGUCAGGUCAAAAUUUAGUAAACACAUUGACCAAUCCAACCCAUUAGGAUUGGAUCGGAUCGAGAUCCAUCUGAGCCGGUGUAAUUGCCAAGUCUAAUCUAAACAUUCGUAUUUAUUAUUAUUUUUGAUGAAUUCUAAUUUCCAAUACAUAUACACAUACAUACAUCCAUACAUAUAAUCAAAGUUUGUGGAUAAAAUUAAGAACAAUCGAUUUUGUUUAGAAAAUAUUGAAAAAUUUUGAAUGAAAAUUCAAGUUCAAAUUGACUUUUCUAGGUUUAUUACUAUUUUUAGUGAUUUAUAUUCAAUUCAAUUUAAAUUUCAAAUAUAAAUUUAUACAAAAAUCUCGAAUUGAGCCUAGAUCAUAUUUAUUCUAAUAUUAUCCGUUCAAAUUUAUCUAAAUAUGGAUAAAAAUUUAAACAUUCGACUCUAUAUCUAACAAACAAAAAUAGAUGUGAAUAUAGGUAGAUAACUAUUCGAUUUAUAAUCAAAUAUCAAUUUUAUCUGUAAUUAUAUUUUAUUUUAUAUAAUAUUUAUAUUUUUUAAAAAUAUAUAACUAUAUUAAUAUAUUUUUAAUAUGAUUUAUUAUUUAUUUAAAGAUAUCUUUCAUUUUAGGGUCAUAAAUAUCUGAUUGGUAUUCAUAUAUAUAUAUAUAUAUAUAUAUAUAUAUAUAUAUAUAUAUAUAUAUAUAUAUAUAUAUANNNNNNNNNNNNNNNNNNNNAUAUAUAUAUAUAUGUUUGCAGCCCUGGUGUCGCAGAGGGGAUUUUUUAAAAUAAUAUUUUUUAAAUAAAAAAUUCUCAAAAUACCUCCGUUUGGAAAUUAUUUUCGAAAUUACUGUGUUUGGACCGCGUCAGCAAGAAUCGUGGGUUCAACCCACGAAUUCAAGGCCCACAUGGAGAAUUCGUGGGUUGAGCCCACGAAUAGUCGGCCUACCUGGCUAAAUAAUGAAAUCGUGGAUUGAACCCACGAUUUUGUUUAAAACAAAUUUUUUAAAAAAUUUCAAGAUGAAUUCGUGGAUUCAACCCACGAAUUCAGUCCGUCGCCACGCGGCCCACAUGCUGAAGGCCCACAUGGCUAUAAGGUAUUUAUUUUAUAUUAUUUUUUCUGAAAUCGUGACCUCCGGUCAUGAUUCUCCGACAGCCAUAACUCCCGAUCCCCACCGAUCCUGCUCCCCUCCUCCCUCUCUCUCCCCCCCAACCGCCGCCCCCUCCACGGGCCCUACCCCCCGCAGCCACACCGGCCACCCCCCUUCAAGCCCCCUCGGGCCGCCACCCUCCUCCACAGGUCUCCCCCGAGGGCCGCCCUCCUCCCCGGUCCCGGCCGUCGCCCUCCUCCCUGGUUCCCCCCGCCAGCACCCCCUCCACCCCCUCCUUUCCCUCUGGCUGCGGCAACGAGAGGUAUAAAUUUAUUUAUUUUUUAUUUUUUAUUAUUUAAAUUAUUGUAAUUAUUUAUUAAUUUUAUGAUUUUUAUAAUAUUAGAGUUUUAUAAAAUUAUGAUGUUUUAAUUUUAUAAUAUUAUUAAUUUAUGAAAUCUGUAAAUGAGAAAUUAGAAUUGAUAAUUUAAAAAUUUUACAAUUGUGUAAAAUUAUAUGAUAUUGUUAUUUUUUGAAGUUUUAUAAGUUUAAAAAAAUAAAAUUAAUAAAUAUAAAAUAUUUUAAUUAUAAAAUUAAUUUUAUUAAAUUAUAUAAUAUUUUUAGUUGGUAUAAGUGAAAAAAUUAAAUUAAUAAUUAUAAAAUUUUGUUAAGUAUGUUUAAAUUUAUAAUAUUAUAAUUUUUUGUAAUUGUCUAUAAAGUGAAGAAAUAAAAUUAAUUAANNNNNNNNNNNNNNNNNNNNNNNNNNNNNNNNNNNNNNNNNNNNNNNNNNNNNNNNNNNNNNNNNNNNNNNNNNNNNNNNNNNNNNNNNNNNNNNNNNNNNNNNNNNNNNNNNNNNNNNNNNNNNNNNNNNNNNNNNNNNNNNNNNNNNNNNNNNNNNNNNNNNNNNNNNNNNNNNNNNNNNNNNNNNNNNNNNNNNNNNNNNNNNNNNNNNNNNNNNNNNNNNNNNNNNNNNNNNNNNNNNNNNNNNNNNNNNNNNNNNNNNNNNNNNNNNNNNNNNNNNNNNNNNNNNNNNNNNNNNNNNNNNNNNNNNNNNNNNNNNNNNNNNNNNNNNNNNNNNNNNNNNNNNNNNNNNNNNNNNNNNNNNNNNNNNNNNNNNNNNNNNNNNNNNNNNNNNNNNNNNNNNNNNNNNNNNNNNNNNNNNNNNNNNNNNNNNNNNNNNNNNNNNNNNNNNNNNNNNNNNNNNNNNNNNNNNNNNNNNNNNNNNNNNNNNNNNNNNNNNNNNNNNNNNNNNNNNNNNNNNNNNNNNNNNNNNNNNNNNNNNNNNNNNNNNNNNNNNNNNNNNNNNNNNNNNNNNNNNNNNNNNNNNNNNNNNNNNNNNNNNNNNNNNNNNNNNNNNNNNNNNNNNNNNNNNNNNNNNNNNNNNNNNNNNNNNNNNNNNNNNNNNNNNNNNNNNNNNNNNNNNNNNNNNNNNNNNNNNNNNNNNNNNNNNNNNNNNNNNNNNNNNNNNNNNNNNNNNNNNNNNNNNNNNNNNNNNNNNNNNNNNNNNNNNNNNNNNNNNNNNNNNNNNNNNNNNNNNNNNNNNNNNNNNNNNNNNNNNNNNNNNNNNNNNNNNNNNNNNNNNNNNNNNNNNNNNNNNNNNNNNNNNNNNNNNNNNNNNNNNNNNNNNNNNNNNNNNNNNNNNNNNNNNNNNNNNNNNNNNNNNNNNNNNNNNNNNNNNNNNNNNNNNNNNNAAAAUUUUAUAAGUGAAAAAAAAUAUCGAUAUAAUUUAAGUGAAUUAUUAUUAAAAAAUUUAUUUUAAUUAUUAAUUUUGAUCAAUGUGGUUUGCUUUAUGUAGAGCAUGCUAAAAUUAUUGUAUUUGUUAUGUAUGCAGUGAUGAAAGAAAAUAUUACGAUCUUAUGUUACAUAAAUAGUUCUACAAUUUAUGGACCGAAUGUGAUUAAAUACAUUGGUCGUCUUGAAAGGGCAGUUAGAAUUAAAUCUGAAAUUAGAUUUGAGGAGUUGGAGAAUAAAUUAUGCAGACUCUUUCGUAUAGGCAAAAGCAAGAAUAGACUCACGAUAAUAUAUAGAUAUUCACAGGUUGUACAGCCAAUAUUGUUAAAAUAUGAACAUAUUCCGAUUACUGAAGAUGAAGAUAUUGAAGUAAUUUUUUCAACGGUUAGUUCGCACCCAUAUUUAUUAGGUGCAGAGUUGUAUCUAGAAGUACAACCUAUUGAAGCUGAACAGUAUGAUUAUGAAGUAACUGAUAGAGAUAUAAGAACAACUCAGGGCAUUCAACAGAUCGGUCUAUCUCGAACAGCUCAGGACAUUAAGCAUGUACCAGAGACUCAAAGUUCCAGACAUGCAGAGGAUCAAUUUUCUGUAGUUGAUCCUGAUGUGGUUGGUGUCACUAUUAGAGAAUCAUCAGUUUAUACACCUAUCGAUGAUAUGAUGCACAUAGAUAAUCGGCUAUUUGAGGAAGAUGACAUACAGAGUGGAGAUGAGAUGGACUUCCAUCCUCAGGAAGGUGGUACUUCUGCACCUAUAGAUUGCAGACCUGUGGAAGAGCAUCCAAAUUUAGGGGUAUUUGAAGCUUCGUCUGCAACAUUCUGAUCAAUUGAUUGGACGGUAGCUAAUGCAUCAUUGUCUUCUGGUUUGGAGACAUGGUGCACCAGCUGGGAAAAAGAUGCCGAGUUGUUAAAAGGACUUCGUUUUAGAGAUAAAAUGGAACUGCAAACUGCAGUAAAACAAUAUCAUAUUGAGAGGCAUUAUGAAUUUAGAGUUGUCGAGUCAGAGCUAAAACUUUGGGUGGUAAAAUGCAAAAAUAGAGUCAGGAUGUAAUUGGAUGCUUCAAGCUGUUAAGCGAUACGAUUACUUUAAAAUCACAAGGUAUAUCGGUCCACAUACAUGUGUUUCAGCUAUGCUUUCUCAGGAUCAUUCUGGUCUUGAUUCGAAUUUUAUUGCCAAUGAAAUUCAGGAUGUUGUAAAAGAAAUAUCCAUAAUUUCUAUUGCCGAUAUCGGUGCAAUUAUCAAAAAUAGAUUCAACUAUACGACCAGUUAUAAAAAGUUAUGGGAGGCAAAGCAAAAAGCAAUGGCAUUGAUAUAUGGAGACUGGGAUAAAUCUUAUAACCUAUUGCCAAAAUAGUUGCGUGCUGUACAGAAAUUUAAUCCUGGCUUUUGGGUGAAGUUCAUCAGCACUUCUACCGAUUUUCUCCAUUAGCUGCAUUUGAUCAUGCUUUUUGGGUAUUUGCACCAUCAAUUGAAGGCUUCAAAUAUUGUAGACCAGUUAUCAGUAUCGAUGCUAUAUUUAUAUACGAAAAAUAUCGGAAGAAGCUGAUGAAAUGGAUUGUUGGGUGCAACAAACAACUGACAUCACCAUUAUACCAUAGAAAGAACGAUUGCGACAAAAGGAAAGACCACGAUCUUCUAGACUAAGGAAUGAAAUGGAUUGGACGGAAAUCAGGAACAGAACUAGGUGCCGAAAUUGUGGCGAAGUAGGGCAUAGCAGACGACAUGUCCGACAAAUAGACAAUGAUCUUUUGUAUUCAAACUUGUAUUAUUAUCAGAAAAAUUUUUUAUGUUAUUAUCUAUUGUAAUGUGGUACUAAUUUUGUUCCGACUUGUAUCAAAUAUAUGUGUUUGAUUCGAUAACAAAAAUUUUUUUUACAAAUGUGUUCUAUAGCCUCGUGCACAUGGAGCCAGGGUCGGUAGAUCAGACGGUCUUAUAUGCUCAGGUGUCUCAUCGAUUUUUCAUCAUUUGGGAUGGACAUGUAUGUAUUUAUAUUAAAUAUAUUUUAAAAUUUAGAGAUCUGAAUUAACUUUUUUUUCACUUUUGCAAGAGCAUUUCUUUCUUCGAUGUCGACGGCGAGGUGCUUUUUCACUUUUGCAGGAGCAUUCCUUUCUUCGAUGCUUUUGAGGUGACAGAGGUUUCCACCCAUGUUUUACUAAGUUUUAUUGGUUUCAUCUUGAUCGUUUCGAAUUUGAUCAGGUAUAAACAUAAAUAAUUUACAUUACUUAGAUAAUUUCUUAGAAUGACUACGUUCAUACUACUUACACUCAAUUCUGUGGAUGAAAAGAUCGUGUGGCAGCCAUAUACUCCUCUGGUCCUAGCUGGUCUACCAGAUUAUUAUUUUAGUAGACAGCAUAUAUGGCAAUGCCAAGUGACACUUCUAUGCUUUUUUAUCGUUGAGUGGCACUAUCCGGAUAGAGUGAUGCACCAGUUCAGACUACGCCAGACUAUUUUGGAGGUUUGUGAUACAGAUUCCAGACUUCAUCAUAUCGACCUUCGAGGGCGCACAGAUCAUGACUGGAGAAGAAUUCAUCAGCACUGGGUUGCACUCUGGGAGAGUCGGUAGGAUUAUAUUAUAAACGAUCCAGCGGCCGACGGUAUGAUGGAUUAUUAUGAUGAUUACAUGGAGUGAUAUCGUCGCAUCACGCAUCGAUUCAUUUGUCAUGGAGGAGCGAUGUUUGACUAUCUGAUAAGGUUUCAUAUUUUAUCUGUAAUUUUCUAUGACUAACACAUUUAUAUUUUCUCCAUGCUGAGCAUGUUAUUUGUGUCAGAGUGACAGUUUGGUGAGGAUUCAUCAUUUGGCUCGUCCGAACUCGUUAGCCACAUUCGGACAGCUCAUUCAGAAUAUUUGUGCUUCAGGACUCCACGUCGUUUGACAGCACACUCGUAUCUCCAUCGAUAUCCAUGAUCAUGGUCAUGGCAGUGUAGGGUCCACUCCUUCACCUUUCAUGCAUCUNNNNNNNNNNNNNNNNNNNNGUCAUCAUCAGGAGCACCUGCAUUGCAUAGAGGAGGUAUCAGAUGAUAUUAUAUAUCAUCAUUUUCGAUUUCGGAUCUUCCAUCAUUCAGUUCAUAUAUGCCCUCGUCCGUGUUUAUGUACGACGAUAUGACCUAAUUUCAGUCCACAGAGGAGACUGCAGUACAUUUUGAGUAUGCAGCGAUCGAGUAUGAGGGACCUAGUGAGGGUCCGAUAGAGUAUCAAACGGGGUCGCCUGAGGGAUCGAUUCAGAGUUUGAGCGAGCAUCAUACUGAGGGUUUGAUCGAGGGUCCAGAGAAGCAUUGUACUGAAAGAUCGAGUGAGGUUCCACCCAUGGGUCAUCGAGUGCAACCCGCAAGAAAGAAGCGAAGACCACCUUGUGGAACAUGAUGUAUAUAUUGUAGUUUUUUCAUGUUUGUAAAAUGUAUGGAUAUGAAAGUAAUGGAAUAUUUUAUUAUACAACAUUAACGAGUGCAUUAGAAUUUUGAAUUCAAGUGCUCUUAUAUUAUGCAAUUCGUGCUCUUAUAUCAUAUGGAGUCGCAAUCCGAGCCCACCGAUUGAGUUUGGAACCAUAGUCGAUCAACGACGUGGCACGCAAGUCGGGCCGAAGCGGUCGACCACUGCAAUCCGAGCCCACCAGUCGAGUCCGGAAUCAUAGGCAAGUCAUGCCGAAUCGAUCAACCGUCUGAAAAUUUCGAUCAAUCGAUCCAAACCGAGCUGACCUGUUUACUUCAAUCCUAGCUGUGCCUAAACACUAAACCCUAAAUCGAUCGACCGCCUGACAAUUUUUAAAAAGUUGUUUAAAAAUUUAUAAUUAUUAAAAAAUUCAAAAAUUUUCAAGAUCGAUUGAUCGUUUGAGAAUAUCGGUCGAUCGAUCCAAAGCGAGCCGAUCAAUUGACUCUUGAUUCGCCAAACCAAUCGACUGUGUGGCACGCAACCUGUGCCGGACCGGUCAAUCGAAUUUCUCAUGCGGUCGACUGGUCCGGCAUGGGUUGUGUGCCAGAUGGUCAACCGAUUUAGCAAAACAAGGGUCGACCAGUCGGCUCGAUUUGUAUCGAUUUCUCAGGCGGUCGAUCGGUCCGACAAAUUUUGGGUCCCAUGCGGUCGAUCGAUCUGAGACUCGAAGUCAACCGACCAGCUCGAUUUGGACCGAUCGAUCGAAAUUCUCAGGCUGUCGAUCAGUCUGGCAAAUUUUGUGUCCCACGUGGUCGAUCGGCCUGAGACUCGAAGUCAAUCGGCCAGCUCGAUUUGGAUCGAUCGAUCGAAAUUCUCAUGCGGUAGAUCGAUCCUGAUAUUUUUUUGAUUUUUUAAAAAUUAUAAAUUUUUAAACAACUUUUUAAAAAUUAUCAAGCGAUCGAUCGGUUUAGGGUUUAGGGUUUACGAUUUAGAGUCGAUCGAAAUUUUCAGGUAGUCGAUCAGUUCGGCAUGACUUGCCUGCCAUGUCGUUGAUCGACUAUGGUUCCGAACUCGAUCGGUGAGCUCGGAUUGCAACUCCGAUAAUAUUUUUGAUUUUUUAAUAAUUAGUCAUUAUACACUAACUAUUUGAUUAACUACUUUGCUGUCAAAAUCAUAUCUUAAAUUGUACAUAAUUUUAGUCAGAUUACAAUACAUCUAAAAUGACAGCAACAAAAGAAAUGUACAUAUGCAUUCAUCAAACUAAAGUACAUUUCUCUAAAUGUUAAUGACUAAGAUGGCAGAUCUUCGAGUGAAGCCACACAUACUGCUGCUAAUUGCUGAAGCUUAAUCAUCUAGAGUAGGGUCUUCUUAUGGUGGAGGAAAUUGAUGAUAAAAAUAUUAUACGAACUGAUCAAAUCGUCCAAAAGUCUCGUCCAAUCGGGCACCCAUCUGUGUAAAUCGCUCAUUCAGCCGAGAAUCCAUAUGUGCAAACCUCUCGCUAACAGAUAUCUCCAAUGCAUCUAUACGAGCAGAUAAUGCAUGCUGAUCGGAUGACUACUGAUCAGACUGUAUAGCAUGUAUGGGCUACUCUCUGUCGGUAGACUGACCACCUCCGUCACCACCAUGUUCUUCUUCAUCUACUGUAGACGUACGCAUCCAUACACCAUCAUGAAAUGUAUACCCCAUAUGCCUCAGAGAUGCAUGAUUGUAAAUAUCACUACAUUUAACCUUGACAACUUCAUCGGCCGUGAUGUGGACAUGAAAUGCUUUGAAUAUAGUAGUGAGAACAGCUCCAUAUGGCAAGAUGAUUUUUAAACUUUGAAAACAUUCAUUCAUAUAGAACAUCAUUAAAUAGGGCAAAUUAACCCUAUCACCUAAAAGAAUCAUUCUGAGGAGAUAAACAUCUAAAUAUGAUACGUGUUCUCUAUGACCUCCUUUGGGCAAAAAAUUAAACAUAAAAAUAUAAUGGAUUAACCUAGUUUCAAGUGGUAAUUGAUUUGCAUCAGAUUUAGCAGUCGUACUUAUAUGAUCGUCAAAAAUAGUUCUAACACAGGAAGCAUAGUCUAAUAUUGGAUGAUUCCAAACAGUACUACUAUUAAAAAAUUUGUCACCGUCUGAUGGAAUAUCUAAAAUUUGACCUAAAAUUUUACAGUCAAAUUCGAUUAGUUGUCCUUUAACAUACGAUGAAAUGGAACAAGACUUACUAUUAAAACUAAAAUUACUAUAAAAAUAGUAAACCAGAGUAGGAUACGUUGGUUUGUUGAGCGUAAUCAUAGACAGCCAGCCCAUCCUUUCAAAUAAAAAUUUAAUACAAAAAUCACUAAAACUAUUUAAAUCGACUAUCCUACCUCCUACAACUUUUUUUUCAAAAAAAAUUGAUUAAAAUUUUUCAUUACAUUCAUUAUCUAAAAAUAAGGACUCUUCAUACCUACGAGAUGGUUGCUUCUCUUUCUCUACUCGAAUUCUCUUUUCUUUCGAUAAAACUCUACUUUUUUUGAAAGCCAUAAUCGAUUUUAAGAAAGGAUGAGUAACGAGUAAUAAGGAUGAAAAGUGUGCACUUGAAGAGAGGGUGGGGUGUGAACGAGUAAGAAGGAUGAGGAGUGUGCACUUGAAGGGAGGGUGGAAUGUGGAUUUAAAGACAACAAAUUUAUGGGUUGAACCCAUGUUUUUGGGUCAAUUUUUAAUGAAUUCACUCAUCGUGCAACGGGUAAGAAUUCAAAUGAAUUCGUGGGUUGAACCCACGAAUUCAGGCCAACAGGUUAUUUUUUGAAUAAAUUCAUGGGUUCAACCUACGAAUUCUCUUCAAAUUUAAAAAAAAUAGUUAUAUCGAAUUCGUAUGUUGAACCCAUGAAUUCGCUUCAAAUUAAAAAAAAAAUGAUCAUAAAGAAUUCGUAGGUUCAACCCACGAAUUCUAUUGGAAUUUCAAAAAAAAAAUUGAUUUACAUCAAUUUCGUGGGUUGAACCCACGAAUUUGGUCUGACCGGGUUGAAUUCGUGGGUUCAACCCACGAAUUUCAUUGAAAAUUCUAAAAAAAAAAUGGUUUACACCAAUUCGUGAGUUCUACCCACGAAUUCACUUCGAAUUCGUGGGUUGAACCUAUAAAUUCGUCCUGAAUUUUUUUUAAAAAAAUUAUUUUAAAUAAAAUCAUGGAUUGAACUUACGAUUUCGUUAUUUGGCCAGGUGGGUCGACUAUUCGUGGGCUCAACCCAUGAAUUCUCCAUGAAGGUCUUGAAUUUGUGGGUUGAACCAAUGAUUUUUUCUGACGCGGCUCAAACACGAUAAUUUUAAAAAUAAUUUUUAAAUAAUAAUAUUUUAAAAUUUUUUAUUUAAAAAAUAUUAUUAAAAAAAAAUCCGUCGCAGAGGUUUAUCUAGUUGGCGCAUGCUGUUUGUGCUAAUAAUUAAUUUGCACUUAUUGCGACGAUCUGACAUCGCGCGACUGCCUCAGAUGUUAAUAAAGCACGUUUGACGAUAGUUUAGCGCUUAGAAGUGCGCAAGCCAAGUUCCAGUCGGAUCCCACUCUUCGGAGCCCGCGUUUCUUCUGGCGGCGGUACCCUUGCGGCCAUGGACUCCCAGACCGACGGCGGCGGCGGAGGGGACGACGUCACCGCACUGAAGGAGAUGCGCCGCCAACUGGAAGACUCCAUCGAGGCCCGCCGGCAAGCCCAGCAGGACCUCAUCGUCUCCCUACAGACCCUCGUCCCCGACCUCGUCUCCUCCCUCGACAUCUCCCUCCGCAUCAUUUCCGCCUUCAACCACCGCCCCUUCUACCCCACCCCCAACCCUAACCCUAACCCUAACCCAAACACUCCUUCCGAUCCCCCCCGCCCCCUCAACCCUCGCCGCCGUCCCCCGCUCCCGGACUCCAGUCCCCUCCCACCCCGUACCCGUCCCAGGCCCUAUCCUGGACCCCGCCGCGACCACUCCCCUCCCGACGCCGACGGUGGCGGUGGCGACCGCCUCUCGGUCGUCCGCGCCAUGGUCGCCGUCUGCCUCCUCGAGCUCAACCCGUUCACCGAGAUCGACUCCGCCGCCCUGCUCCGCCGGCUCGAGGGCGACCAGUCCUCCGCCACUCCCGCCGAGAAGGCCGCCCUGGUCGAGCUCGGCGGGGAGCUCGGACCGAUCUCCGCUGUCGAGACAGCGCUCCGGCGGAUCGCCGAGGAGAGCGGCGGGUUGCAACUGGAGGAGUUCACGGUGAACGGGAAGUCUAUGUUGAUGAUUCGGGCUAUUGAUCGGAACAAGCUCCUCAAGGAGCACCCUGAGAGCUCCUUCCAGAAUCAGCAGUUGCCGGUGGCGGAACCCAGUUCCGGCAACGGGAAGAAUAAGGGUCAGGGGCCGGGAAUGGGCGGAGUCGAUGGCGGCGCUGCGCUGAUGCCGAGGCCACCGCUGGAGAUGUGGAUGGGGCCUCCUGACUCUCAUUUAUCGGGCAUGUCUCCUAUGUUUCCACGGCCUGGCGCUCCGCCGACCAUGGUCGGCCCAAGAGGCGGGCCGAGGGUUAUGAGCUUGAUGGGGAUUCCGAGGAUGAUGGGCACGCCUCCUCCCCACAGGCCUGUCAUGGGUCCUGGCGCUGCUAUGGGUAGCACAAGUCUGGCGCCUCCGAACCAAAGGACUGAGGAGGAUGAGCUGAAGGACCUUGAAGCAUUGCUGAACAAGAAGACGUUCAAGGAAAUGCAAAAAUCAAAGACUGGAGAGGAACUUUUGGAUCUUAUUCACCGCCCGACUGCAAAAGAAACCGCCGUUGCUGCAAAGGUUCGGAAAUUUUGGUUCUUAUGUAUACAUGUCACUCUUCGGUGUAUCAACUGUUAUAGUUAAAUUGUUAUUCAUCAACACAUGUCUUGAUGGAUUUCUUGCUGAAUAAAAAGUGAGAAAAUGAUGUGAUUCUAAAGUUAGGGUAUCUCUAAUAGUCGAAUGGAUCAGUUUCAGGAGGAAUAUAUGGCAUUUUGAAGUGUUAAUAUUAAAAUUGAGCGGUUAAUACUUUUUUUGUUUGUGAAUUUUUCUCACGGUAGAGAUUGUUUUUGUUGAUUUAGUUAGUAUCCAAAGUGGUUUGAUUUUAGUUUAAGCAUUUCGCAAUAUAAUGGGAAAAGGUGUGAUUAUUUGUUCCUUCGUUCUAGUCUCACUGCUCAGUUGUUGAUUUUUCUUGCAUUAUUUCUGUGAUAUGUAGUAAUUCUAUCACUUGCCUUAAAAAGAAAUAUAGCAGAACAGGAGGCUUUACUUCUUGCAGAGUUUUACAGAAAUCAAGAAGAAGAAAACCUUCUUGCUUAUGCUUUAAUUCUUGAAGUUGCUAGUAAAUAAUUAUCAACUCUAUCCUCACUUCUUAUAGGAUAGUCAACAUCUACUUGCUUGAAAGAAUCCAAUUUAUGACAUAAUUCAUGAAUUGAUCCAAUAUGCUUGUACACCAAGUAUAAGUAUAUAUCUCGAACUUAAGGAAAUCUCCAAUUCUUAAUAUAAUCAAAAGAAGCUAAAUAUGUUGAACUUCAGGCAAUCUGAAGAUCUUACCUUCAUUAAAUGAACAUGUAAUAUUUUAGUUUAAAUGUGUGCAGAAGAGGAUUCCAAAGAGUUAGGCAUCUGUACCAAUAGGGGAUUGAAUGAUAGGAAAAUAAUCCAUGGAGUUCAGUUGUACCAAUUUGAUUUGGUUUCUGACAUAUCUGAAUUGCAUUUUUUUAAUUAAAUUGCAUUUUAGCCAGAUGAACCGAGUUAAAAUGAAGCAUAUGAAAAUAUAAUGCCGUAUCAGCUUAAACUCAUAUUAGUAUUUCUGAUGGAUGACAUGCUAUAAGGGGCUGGUUGCCCAUUCUAAAUGCACAUUGUCCCUUCAAAUAUAUUGAAUUUUCUUCAUUUCUAAAUAUCUGCCACAAGGUAGAAAAUAGCUCAUGAGAGCAUGUGUGACCAUGCAGAUUUUUCUGUAAUGAAUAAUACCUGCAUAUUGCUCCUCAAACUUUGAUUUCAACACUACUACUUUAUGAUCAGAAAAAAUACAGAAAUGGUGAAUAUCCUGGAAUAUGUCUAAGUUGUUUAAAUUGUGUUGACCUGCACAAAAUUAUGGGGGAAUCCAAAUUUUUAAAUUUCUAGUAAUUGUCAUAGUGCAAGUUUUGUUUUAUAUGAAGUCUCUAAUGCCUUCCCCUUUUGGUUCCGUAUGAAGGACAGCUUAUGGAUCUUGACUGCUUCUAUCACUAAAUUAUGUGUGGAAGCUGCUGAGGGCUUCCUGCUCAAGUAUUAGUUAAUUUUCAUGCAUGUUUUACCACUCAUGAUACCUGAUGUUGAGCAUUCUGUUUUCAGUUCAAGACCAAGGGUGGCUCUCAACUCAAAGAAUAUUGUACACAUCUAACUAAAGAAGAUUGCCGACGCCAAACUGGUUCAUUCAUUGCAUGUGAGAAGGUUAGUGUUACCAUUGAUUGUUUAACAAAAUCAUGCAUAAAAAUGUAGUUAUGCCUAUAUCUUAUUAUCUUGCAUUUGAUAUGGUUUUUAUGGAAUCUUUUGGAUGUCUGUAUGCUACAUUUAUAGUAUCUUCAUAUUAUCAUCAUACUUGUGUUUCACGCAACCUCGUUUCAUAUUAUAAGGAAUGGAUAAGUAAUUAAAUCAAUAAAGAUUAAUGUCAAAAAGUUGUAAGUUCCUCCUAGUUACAUCAUUAUAGUUAAUGACCAGCAAAAAUGAUUUCAUUUCCAACUCUAAAAUACUGCUCUAAUAGGUUGGUUUGGCCUGAUAAGUUAGAUCGUGUGCUAGAGAUAAGUUCAUUUCAAGACUAGGCUUGAAGAGAAAAAUAAAGAUUUAGGAUCCCUUGUAGUAGAUGAAGUUUACCAAGCACGUUUAGCAAAUAAAAAGAUUUCAAAGGAUUUGGAAGUGAAUGCACUACUUUGAUAAUACAGAAAACCAUAUAGGUAUUGAUUUGAAACUCAGUGGACCCUAAAUUGGAUAGUACAAUAAAGCUACAUUUUUAAGACUCAUGAAUAGACUAUGCAACAUGCAAUAUAUAUGCACAGUCAUAGAAAGAAUAUACAAAAAAAGGGCAGCCUGGUGGACAAGGCUCUUGCCAUUGUGGGAUUUGAGGAGGAUCAAACAUACACAGUCAUGCGCUCGCAUGUAGAGAGUUUGUUUCCAUGUUUGCAACCCAUGACCUCCAAAUCGCAAUGGAGCAACCUUACAGUUGCACCAAGGCUCACCCUCCAUAGAAAGAAUAUACCAUGUAUACUUAUUAGGAUUCCUGAUAAAGCCAUAUAUAUUGAAGAUUUGGAAUUCAAUGGACCAUAAAUUAGAUACAAGUAGUGUUAUAUUUGAAGACUCAUAAACAGACAGUGCAACAUGCAAUUUAUAUGCACAGUCAUAGAAAGAAUAUACAGAAUGUACUUAUUAGGGUUCUGGAUAUAUAGUGUAGGUAGGGUGAAAUCAAAUCUCUCUUUAAGAUAAAAUACUUUCUGUAGUGAAUAGAUGAAUUUUUUUAAGGAUUAAAAGGGAAGAAAUUGAAGAGACUAUGUGGAGAAUGUGCUUAUUAAUUAGUGUGUGUUUAAUAUUUUGACAAUAGGAAAUCAACUUGCUUCCACUGCUCUUCCUUUUUUGGUCAAAUCACUUCAUCUUCUGAUUGCUAUAUACUGUUUUUAACCUGCCACUUGAUUGUAGGUGCAUUUUCGGCGCAUUAUUGCUCCACACACUGAUACAAAUUUAGGUGACUGCUCUUUUCUUGAUACAUGCCGUCACACAAAGGUUAACUAUUUUCUCUUUUAUCAAAUUCCCUUAAUCAUUUUUUCUUGUAUUAUGGUUUGUAGCUGAUAAAUGUUUUGUUAACAGACCUGCAAAUAUGUUCAUUAUGAACUUGACCAAACACCAGACAUACCUUCAAUGAUGAUGGGUGCUACUAAUCUUCCACCUCCAAAACCAAUCAAGUCCCAAAGGGCCGAAUAUUGUUCAGAAGUGGAGCUUGGAGAACCUCAAUGGAUAAACUGUGACAUCCGUACCUUCAGAAUGGACAUUUUAGGGCAGUUUGGAGUUAUCAUGGCAGACCCACCUUGGGACAUUCAUAUGGAAUUGCCAUAUGGUACAAUGUCAGAUGAUGAGAUGAGAAAUCUUAAUGUACCUGCAUUGCAGACUGAUGGUCUGAUUUUUCUAUGGGUCACUGGGCGUGCAAUGGAACUUGGGCGUGAAUGGUAAUUUUUGUUUUUAGCAUAUUGUGCAUGAAAAUUGCUGGUAUUACUCUUUGUUAGAUUAACCAAUAAUGACCUAGACAGCCAUUAGAGGUUUUAUUAUUUUUUAAUCAUGCAAAUAUGGUACAAAGGGUGGGCUUUCAACAUGUGAGAGCAGACAAUCGACUAUAACCCUGGCCCCUGGACUUUUAUUGCAAUUACUCACUUUUUCCUGUUCUCUCAUAUAUUUUGUUUUGGCGGCAAACUUAAGAGUUCAUUGGAGUAACUUGUAACUGAGGGAUGUCCUGUUUCUGCCAUAUUGUGCAUGCAAACUGUUGAUAUUGUUCAUUGUUAGGAGAAUCAAUGAUGACUUGGCCAUUUCAUCUUUUAUUUAAAAACGUUGUGAAAAUGUGGUAGGAAGGGCAGGCUUUCAGCAUGUCCGAGCAGGCAAUCAACCAUAACGCCAGGCCUCUGGCCUUUGAUUGCAAUUGCUUACUUUUUCUUGUUGUCUCAUAUAUAUUUGUCCUUUGAGAGACCUAAUAUUACGUUGGAGUAACUUGUAACUGAGGGGGGUUUCUUCUUACAGUGGGCUCGUCUUAUUUGUUUAUGUUCCCCUGCAGUUCCUUGUGAAUAUUAGUAAAUGCAGACGCCUCUACCAUAUCAAGUCAUGUCGUGUCACUGUAAUUAUUUUUAGACUUGAUGCUUAAAGACAUGAUAUAGUCAAACUGCAAAGGGUCGUUUCUUAGAACAUCUAACACUGUUGAAAUUUGUACUGUAUGUGAGAUGGAUUCUUUUGCUGCAUAGUAUAACCAAGAUGUUGAUAUUUGAUCUGCUCAAAUUGCACCUUUCUGUGGUGAUGUAUAUGGCGAUUAGUGGAGACAUGAAGGUUUAAAGGUUCUGUCACUGUGAAUCCAAACUGUAGAUAAUAGAAGGAAACAGGGGUUUGACUGGAGCCUGGUGGAAAGGAAUUAUUUUAAAUUGCUGGUCUUUUAUUGUGAAGGAUAUCCAUCUUGGUGUUUAUGGUAAAACAGCCUUUUCCAUAGUAUUACCCCGCACGAUCUUGUUUUUGUACUUUAUCUUAUCUCUAGAUUGGGUGGGACAAGAAUUAGUCAUUGCUGUCCAAAAUUGUUUUCCAGCUUAACAAAUUGAAAUUAGUUUGAACUUUUUUAGCUGAUUAAUUCUGUUUGGUUUUUCUUCUGAUCAUUGCACCUUUCCAUUACUAAGUUUUCUAAUCAUGCAGAGACAGUAACAUAUCAAAUGUUGUUGUUGCAAGUUUCUUUCUAGUCUCUUAUACAUGAUGGCAUUGGCUUAUUUAUUCUUUAUUGUUUAUAAGAACAGUUGGCUUUAGACUAGUGGUAGGACUUUGAGGCAAACUCAUGGAAUUUUCUUUUUCUCUUUUUAACAUUUAUCAGUUUGGAGCUUUGGGGAUACAAGCGUGUUGAGGAGCUCAUAUGGGUGAAGACCAAUCAACUCCAACGAAUUAUUCGAACUGGACGUACAGGCCAUUGGCUCAAUCAUAGUAAAGAACAUUGUCUUGUUGGAAUAAAGGGAAACCCAGAGGUGAAUAGGAACAUCGAUACAGAUGUUAUUGUAGCUGAAGUUCGUGAAACCAGCCGAAAACCUGAUGAGGUAAGCAGAUGUUGUACCAUGUUUCUUUUCAACAGAAAUAGAAUAUAACUAAUUCUAACAAUGCCAUUAUUGCUUGGUGUUGCUAAUUUGACAGUAUACAAACCCCAUUCAUUAAGAAUGCCUAUAGUUCAUCUUAGUGAGUUGAUUGAGAAAGAAUACAUCUUCUCAUUCCUUGUCUUUCAUUAUCGGCUUUUUGAUACUAAAAACCUAGAAUCUGAAAGGCUUAAACAGAUCCUUGGAAAAAUCUUUGGUAGUAUUGAUCUUGAUGGUUGUCUUUCUUCACAAGGAACCUUGCUUUUGGCAUAGUCUAUCAUUUACUUCCUUUAUAAAAAUUAAUUCUUUCAAAAUUUUUUUUCUCGACGCCUGGCAUCCUCUAUCAUUUCAUUUCGGCAUCGUAUUUCUUAAUGUUUCUCUCCAUUCUAUAUUUUUGCACCCAUAUUGUUUUACCUAACCCCUUCAACGUAUUGUCAGCUUCUUUCAUCUUCCGGACAUUUUCUGGGGUAUUUGAUUUCAGUUGUUGAUGUUUAUCAAAAUAUAUCCAGACUUCAUAGUCUCUCUUCUUUAUUCUCUGCUAUUUUUCCUUUCGUUCUUCUUUAUGCUCCUUCUUUUUCCAGAAGCUGCAUGUUGCACUGCAUGCUAGAGAUUCCACCUUAGCCAAGGUUCAAGUAAAAUUUGUGUGUAAAGGACUCCUUUGAACAUAUAGGAAAUGGUAUUUUUAUUUAAAAAGGUCUCAAAAACAUGUGGUUUUUUCACACUCAGCAGAAUCGGGCACUCCAGUUUAGUAGUUUGUGUCACUAUUAAUUAUUUAAGUAUCAGCACUUUAUGGUGGUGCUCUGACGUGGCAAUCAAAAUUGCCUUGUCAUGCAACUGUGUUCUGUUAUACUCCACUAAAAGCUCCUCCUUUGUAUUUAAUUUGUAUCACAUAAAUUUAGAUAUACAAUUAUACACCUGUUAACCAUGCAAGUUUUCUCAAUAUGCAAGUCCGAGGUCCACAGCUCAUGUUUGUACAUGCUCUCACUGCAGAUGUACCCAAUGCUAGAGAGGAUAAGCCCCAGGACAAGGAAGUUGGAAUUGUUUGCUCGAAUGCACAAUACACAUGCUGGGUAUGCACUUACAUUGUGGUUUCUGUUUCCUUGGUUAUGUACUCACACUAGAUAGAUACAAAUGGUAUUUUAGAUCUUGAUGCCAAUAACCAGUAAUAUUUCGCCCAUUCCAUUAUAAUGUUUGUGUUUAGGCAAUUCCCAAAUUUGAUUGCAGAGAAUGGUUUGUGCAUUUGUGUAUUGAAAACAACUGUAAGCUGUCUUAUUCAGGAUAUUUCAUUAUAAUAAUAGAUAAGUUGCUGUUCAAAGUUAUUUUCCAAUGAAGGACCAUAGAGAACCUAGUUCCUACUGCUGACCCAUCCACAUCCCUGCCCUAAAUAAAUAAAUAGAAUAGAAUAGAAUAAAAACAACAACAAUAAGAAGAAAUUGUCCUAAUUUGGAAGUUUGGCAUGGAGUAAAUGUACUUCUUUCAUAUGACAAUGUUCUGUAACUAGGUUGUCCCAACUGAAAAGUUGACAAGGUUCCUAUUUGAUAAUGUUCUGCCGUUCAUCGUGAACUUAGUUUCCAGAAGUUUGAAGUUAACAUCUUGCCAAGUUAUGAACUCACUAGAUGGGUUCUUGUUUCUAUUCCCUUGCUAUGGCAGGGAUUUUCUCGUAAUUCAACUUGCACGAGAUACUUUAACUGUUUCUUUUUUACUUGCUAGCUUGUUUCCAUGCUGCACCAGACCAUCCAUUCCAAUUUAAUGGGCUUGCAAUUCUAAGGGUUGAAUGGUUUUAUCAGGUGGUUAUCACUGGGUAAUCAAUUGAAUGGAGUCAGGUUAGUUGAUGAUGGUCUGAGAGCAAGGUUCAAGGCUGCUUAUCCAGAUGUGGAGGUACAGCCACCAUCUCCUCCCAGAACUUCUGCUAUGGAUGUAGAUUCAAACAUCCCACAAACGAGGAGCCUUUUUGUUGGGACAGACUCAAAACAAUCAUCGAGCCAAUUCAUGGAACCAACACCACCUGUGGGCUAUUCUGAAGGAAAGCCUAUGGGCACAGAUUUUGAAGCAUCUUCUUAAUAUCAGCAUGUAUAAUUAGUUUCUUUUUGUCAUUUUGUGAUCUUAGCUUUUUCUCUGGGUGCAUGUUUCAUCAGCCAGUUGGCUGCCUUUGCUGUUGCUAGGAUACAGAAAGAUGUAAGCAGCUGGAUGCUUUCGCAAGGAGUGCUGCUUCACAGCACCACUCCAUUCCCAGCUCUCCAUGGCUGACAGGCACCAGCCCACCAACCACCGCCUCCGGGCGCAGGGAGUGGGUAGUACAGUGGUGCUGGUAAAUUAUUUCUUUCAUAAGUACUGCUACUACAUUUCACGUGCAGUUAAUGUAUAAUUAGAUUCUUUAAUGAGAGAGAUUUGAUGUACCUUCUCUUUUUGACCUUUUGGGUAUAAAAAAAGCCUUAAAGCAGCUCCAUCAAACUACCUUUCUUGAUACCAAGAAUUCGGUAGUCAAACAGGUAGCAGGCUGCAUGCUGUUGAUUCCGCUACCUUUUUGUGAAUUGCAACCGGCUGUCCUCAAAACAUCCUUGAUUGGUGCGAUUUAGAUCUCUUGCGAAGUGGAACUUAUUUUGCCCUUUAGGUUUGUUUGCAGCAUAUGGCAGUCUCCGGGAGUUGCAGCUUGCAAGGUACCCGAAAUUCAGAUUCUGAUUUUGCUGCUGGACCUAAAAAACAGUACAAAGGUUAUGGUUGUCACCAUGUGAAACUGCCAUUUAGAUGCUUAAAUAUAUUAAAUGUCUAAGUAGAAUUUAGACUUUACGUGGAUGCACGUUGUUAUUAUUAUUAUUUUUGAAAGGACGUAUUAAGUAAUUGAUCAAGAAUAGAGACUUCCGUGACAGUCUGGAAACAACUUAUAUUGAGAUCGUCAUCUGUUAAGCCAGAGCUAGGCAUGUUUGGCAGACAUCUUUGAUAUAUCAAGCAGUAGAGGAUGGAUAUCAGCAUUAUUGUGUAACGUUCUUUCGAUUUCUAACAAAAUACAAUGACAACACUGGUCGAUCUUACUUCAUUGUGAUGGAAUUUGGCUUUUGCUCCAUAUCCAUGCUUCACAUCUUAUUUGCAUAAUUGCAUGUGCACUCUACUUGUCUAGAGUGUUCAUAUUAUAUUAGUCUAAUUACUUUUCGUGAGAAAUAUAUUAGUAUAAUUUCUACUAUGUAAUCCUAAUCCCGACUAGCAAAGUUUUUAAAGUCCUUAAACAACUUUAAAAUGGAAGUUCAUGUAAGUUAAAUUUGCUUGCUUGCUUGGACUUAUUAAUGCUUGAGCACUUAAUCACCACUUGUUGCAUGUAUGUUUUGGGUGGCUGGGUUCGUUUAACACAUCUCAACGACCACUUGUUGCAUAUGUUUUGGGUGGCUGGGUUCGUUUAAAACAUCUCAACGAUGCUAAUGGUAAUGGUAGUGAUUCUAGGAUAUGUUGCAUGCCCCAUUAUUUUCUUUGAAUUGUUAAUACGGUGGUCUCUUCUAUAGUGUAUACACGGUGAGUGUGUUCGGUUUAUGAAAUGGAUUAAAAUAAGGAUCAGUAUAGCCAUAUUCAUUGGUGUAUUUGAUUUGUAACUGAAAUAAGAAUCAAAAUAGACUUUGAAUAUUAGGAGAGUGUGGGACUGUAUUUAAGAGAAAUUGAAGUAUUCUUUUUUUUUUUUUGAAAUCGAAAUAGAAUGAAAUUUUUUUUCAGCAAAUAACUAAAUAGUUGAAAUAAAAAUUACCCCUUAUCAUUUUUAUUUCAAAAUCUAAUUCUCUUCAACUAAAUAUAUUUUAUAUUUUAUUUGAAUCAUAGUAACAUCCUCAGAUCAUCUAUUCGUUGCGCCAAAGCAUCGCGUCUAUUACUGCUGCUAGAAAUUUUAAAAAAUAACAAUAACCUUAAUAUAUCUCUACCUCGUCUAAAACAAGAAGAGAAACACCUGCGGAUAAUUAAAAAUUACAAAAACAUCUAUUCUAUGCCCCGUAACCGCUAAAAGUUUUUUAAAAAUAAUAAUAAUAAUCUUAUUAUAUCUCUACCAAAAAAGAAAAGAAAGUGCCGACAAUUAAAAAUGAACGAGAUCUAGAUUUUUUAACGGAAAAUCCAGAUCCAAGAUCCAAUUCCGAUGGCCCUCAUCUCAGUAUCAGCACUCUCUAGAUCCCUGCUCUCACAGGAGACUCAGAAGAACCAAACCGACAAUCGACCAAACAGCCACGGAGGCCCCGAGCGACACCGCUCCCGAUCCCUGCGGCGGCGAGGGUCCGAAGACGAUGGGAUACGAAGGCGAAGAUGCCGGCAGCGCCGACGACGCGCCCGGCGGCGGCGCAUCGGCCGCCGGCGGGAAGAAGGUGCCAUUAGCUGCAGGGACGGCGAUCGCCAGCUUCUGAAGCUUCUGGCAGUGCCCUGGGACGCCACUAGUGAAAUAGUAAUUGCCGGGUACCGUGAGAUUAAACGCCGAGUUGCCAUCGUUCAUUUUCUUUAUCGGAUCCGUGAGGCUGCAGCUGUUGUACGCCCGCUCCGUCACCUGGAUCACCGAAUCCUGGCUCGGCGGGUAGAGAAACACUGCCAACAGAGCAAGUCCAAUCGGGCGGUCAGUAACCGGAGGGAGGUGACGGGAUUUGAAUAUGAUGAGAACAAAAGAGAGAAAGAUGCCGGGGUGGGGGAGGGGGGUGUGGUGUGUUGGGUGGGUGUUUGGUGUGGGUGUGGGAGUUGUUUCUUACAGAGGGAGUCGCCGAGACGGAAGUGGUACUUCUGAGGCCAGAGGGCGUAGACGUGGGGGUUGGAGGAUGGGGGCACUCCCCAGGAGUCCAGAUCCCCCACUUUGUACUGGUAGCACCAGCACCCACUUAUUAGCAUUGCUGCUAGGAAUUGGAAUGCCCACGAGAGCCGGCGGCAGUUGGCAAUGCUAGAUGGGACGACCAUGUUCUCCUCUUUUCUUCUUCUUUCUUGUUUAGCUACAGAAAUUUUGCAACCCCUUUCCCAGCCACCAGGAGGAAACUGUGGAGGUGGGAGAGCGAUGGGGAGGAUGAUGGGAGGCGAAGGAGUGACGUUUUAUUUGAUUGUUGGUCAGCAAAUAGCCGUUGGAUGCCAAGUAAGAGGAAUCUCACAUCAUAUACAUGUACAAGCAUUAUAUAAAGAGAACGCGAGAAGAGUAGCAAACGGGAUCUGGUUAAUGUGUGGGCCGGGAAGACGGGGUUCACCGUCACGGCUGGUUGCCGAUUGGCUGGCGGUGGGACGGGGAAAGAUUGUAUCGUUUCCAGCGACAGCACGUGGGACAGUUGGACAGAAGCGGGAAUCAUGCAACGUGGCUUGGAGCACACGCACAACGAGACGGGUUUAUGCCUGUUCCCGGCUGUCCACAGCGUUGAUUGGAAGGAGAGAUAUAACGUACGUUGUACCAUCCUUUGCUGGCAUUUAAAUUUUAAGCCUAGUUGAUUGGCAACUUCUUUAUUCCACUAAUAAGUACAGCUAUGACACAUUCCCAUGCAAGGUUUGGGGUUAAUUAUUUAUUGAAUUGCCUUUGGGCGUAUUGGAUUAUGUUCCACGCCCGGGUGAGGUUAUUUUUGCUGAGCAUUGCUGCUGAGAUUAAGAUAUGUUCGAGCUUCGAUCAUGGAGAAAAUCAUUUAUACCACUCUUGGAACGAGUCAUGCAUGUACACGACACGUGCAUAGCAUGCACUGAUGACAUCCAUCUUGCAUCUGAUACAUGACACAUCUUUAGGUGGCACAACAGCUACUGCUUGCAUCUUUUGGAUAGGGAUUGUAUAUUUUGUACGAAAGGAGGAUUUAUGGCUAUUCAUCAUCGUUGUUCGUGCAAAUUUAUCGUCCACUGCAUAGAUCUCAAAGUACUUUGAAGUUCAUCAUUCUUCUUUAUAGAUCAAAGUGAUCAGGGGGUGGACCUACGAUGGAUUUGCACGAAGGUGAAUUCUUUUUUCGUGUCAAAAAUAUUACCCAACCCUGGAUCUUAUCCCAUUUGCUUUGGAACUGGAGAGAUCCAUGUGAACAUCAACUGCUAUCUUCGUACUAUACAAUAACAAGUGAUUGGAUAAGAAGGUUGCAUACAUGUCUUGCUCUAUCUAAUCGUCCUUCAUUAAGUGUCGGUGACCGAACCGGAUCAUUUAAUCGUCGGAGAGAAUUCAAAAUAGCAUGUGGUGUUGGACAACCAAAUAUAUAACACACGUCUGAUCUAAUCGCUUCUUCGGUACAAUCAAUAAUUAAACAAAGUUAAAUUCACAUCAAAUUGACUGUUAACUUGUUUAAGAAAUCUUGGUGAGCCACACAAGGUACUCCACACUUCGUACAAGCUCUUAAGAAAACUAAUCAAAAGACAGUUUGGUAGCCCCAGCACAUUUGAGUUAGCCGGCCAAGAGGAGCAACAAGAGCAAGGACAAUGGAAAAUUAAAGCACUUCAGGCACUAUCAGGCAAAUUAAGUUUCAGAGGUUGUAGCCAAUAAGCAAGACACAUUUUGAUAGCAUACUGAAAGAAGUGAAAACAUGCAGGACUUAAUGGCAUAAUUGAAACUUUGCUUCAAAAUUGAUUGCAAGUCUUAAUUGCAAAAUACUAUAGAUCUACUUUCAGGAGGAAGUAGGACAUUC